UACGGAGGGUGCAAGCGUUAUCCGGAUUCACUGGGUUUAAAGGGUGCGUAGGUGGGCAGGUAAGUCAGUGGUGAAAUCUCCGGGCUUAACUCGGAAACUGCCGUUGAUACUAUCUGUCUUGAAUAUCGUGGAGGUUAGCGGAAUAUGUCAUGUAGCGGUGAAAUGCUUAGAUAUGACAUAGAACGCCCAUUGCGAAGGCAGCUAACUACACGAUCAUUGACACUGAGGCACGAAAGCGUGGGGAGCAAACAGG
rnacentral:rRNA from 1 species